ACGAACGCUGGCGGCGUGCCUAAUACAUGCAAGUAGAACGCUGAAGAGAGGAGCUUGCUCUUCUUGGAUGAGUUGCGAACGGGUGAGUAACGCGUAGGUAACCUGCCUUGUAGCGGGGGAUAACUAUUGGAAACGAUAGCUAAUACCGCAUAACAAUGGAUGACACAUGUCAUUUAUUUGAAAGGGGCAAUUGCUCCACUACAAGAUGGACCUGCGUUGUAUUAGCUAGUAGGUGAGGUAAUGGCUCACCUAGGCGACGAUACAUAGCCGACCUGAGAGGGUGAUCGGCCACACUGGGACUGAGACACGGCCCAGACUCCUACGGGAGGCAGCAGUAGGGAAUCUUCGGCAAUGGGGGCAACCCUGACCGAGCAACGCCGCGUGAGUGAAGAAGGUUUUCGGAUCGUAAAGCUCUGUUGUAAGUCAAGAACGGGUGUGAGAGUGGAAAGUUCACACUGUGACGGUAGCUUACCAGAAAGAGACGGCUAACUACGUG
rnacentral:rRNA from 1 species